rnacentral:misc_RNA from 1 species
GCAACAAUGGCGGCCAUAGCUCGAUUCCAAUUCCUCCAACCAUAUCCAAUCUCCAAACCCUCAGCAUUUUUCUCAAAAAUUCGUCAAACCUCACCGUCUUUCUCCAGCUUCAGCAGCACCAAGCCUUGCCGGAUUCAUUUCCGUAAGUUCUCCGUCACAUCACCACUCUGCUCCAGCUCCGGCUCAAUUCCCGAGUUUCCCGAAAGUUCUGAAUCAAGUACGUCAAUUGUUGGUGACCUGUUGGACUAUCUGAAUGAAUCAUGGACUCAGUUUCAUGCUACAGCUGAAGCAAAAAGACAAUUAAUU